rnacentral:tRNA from 1 species
GGGCUGAUAGUCUAACGGUAGGACGCCGCUCUUACGAGGCGGAAAUCCCGGUUCGAUCCCGGGUCGGCCCA